ensembl:lncRNA
AAGCACUUCCCAAUUGUUUGUGCAGUUCACAUCUGCAGACAUUUGCUCAUCUCCCGUCAGAACAGGAUCUGCUCACGUGUUCACAUUUUCCAUUUCUAUUGUAGCGUACUGUAUGUAUGGUGCAUAAUAUAAUGGUGUAUAUUCUUUAUCACCGUGGACACAUGAGCUACAUGGCCUUAUGACUCCCAAGUGGUGCAGCGGUCAGAGGCACAGCACAUCCAGUACUAGAGGCGUCACUACACACUCCCUGGUUCAAAUCCAGGCUGCGUUUCUAUCAAAAAAUCACAAACAUUAUUUGCCAAUAUCAUAACUGGCGCUGGACAUCUUUGGAGCUGAAGAAUGAGGACAGCUUUUGUAUGCUAACAUACACCCCUUAACAGUUUUACUGGAUGAAAACACAGCAAGAAAACUCAUAUGCUAAUAUGUAAUAGUCAUCUAUUUUAUUGCAGUAUUGGUAGUUGGUUCAACAACUUGUUUUACUAGAGGACAAAAAACUGAAUAUGCAUAACCCA